rnacentral:rRNA from 1 species
AUUGAACGCUGGCGGCAGGCUUAACACAUGCAAGUCGAGCGGGGUGAUGGUGCUUGCACUAUCACUUAGCGGCGGACGGGUGGGUAAUGCUUAGGAAUCUGCCUAUUAGUGGGGGACAACAUCUCGAAAGGGAUGCUAAUACCGCAUACGUCCUACGGGAGAAAGCAGGGGAUCACUUGUGACCUCGCGCUAAUAGAUGAGCCUAAGUCGGAUUAGCUAGUUGGUGGGGUAAAGGCCUACCAAGGCGACGAUCUGUAGCGGGUCUGAGAGGAUGAUCCGCCACACUGGGACUGAGACACGGCCCAGACUCCUGCGGGAGGCAGCAGUGGGGAAUAUUGGACAAUGGGGGGAACCCUGAUCCAGCCAUGCCGCGUGUGUGAAGAAGGCCUUAUGGUUGUAAAGCACUUUAAGCGAGGAGGAGGCUCUUUUGGUUAAUACCCAAGAUGAGUGGACGUUACUCGCAGAAUAAGCACCGGCUAACUCUGUGCCAGCCGCCGCUGUAA